rnacentral:rRNA from 1 species
AGAGUUUGAUCCUGGCUCAGAUUGAACGCUGGCGGCAUGCUUUACGCAUGCAAGUCGAACGGCAGCACGGGGGCAACCCUGGUGGCGAGUGGCGAACGGGUGAGUAAUGCAUCGGAACGUGUCCUGUAAUGGGGGAUAACCUACCGAAAGGUAGGCUAAUACCGCAUACGUCCUGAGGGAGAAAGCGGGGGAUCGCAAGACCUCGUGUUAUAGGAGCGGCCGAUGUCGGAUUAGCUAGUUGGUGGGGUAAAGGCCUACCAAGGCGACGAUCCGUAGCGGGUCUGAGAGGACGGCCCGCCACACUGGGACUGAGACACGGCCCAGACUCCUACGGGAGGCAGCAGUGGGGAAUUUUGGACAAUGGGGGCAACCCUGAUCCAGCCAUGCCGCGUGAGUGAAGAAGGCCUUCGGGUUGUAAAGCUCUUUCGGCCGGGAAGAAAUCGCGCCAGCUAAUACCUGGUGUGGAUGACGGUACCGGAAGAAGAAGCACCGGCUAACUA